GACGUAGGGUGCAAGCGUUGUCCGGAUUUACUGGGCGUAAAGAGCGCGUAGGCGGUCUGUUAAGUGAGAAGUGAAAGCUCCGGGCUCAACUCGGAAAUGGCUUCUCAUACUGGCAGACUGGAGUGAUGCAGAGGUUUGUGGAAUUCCUGGUGUAGCGGUGAAAUGCGUUGAUAUCAGGAGGAACACCCAUGGCGAAGGCAGCAAACUGGGCAUCAACUGACGCUGAGGCGCGAAAGCGUGGGUAGCAAACAGG
rnacentral:rRNA from 1 species